GAGGAUGGAGGAGUGAGGAGGGUCUUUCUGGUGUAUAUGUGAGGAUGGAGGAGUGAGGAGGGUCUGUCUGGUGUGUGAUUGAGGAUGGAGGAGUGCGGAGUGUCAGUCUGGUGUGUAUGUUAGGAUGGAUGAGUGAGGAGGGUCAUUCAGGUGUGUAUGUGAGGAUGGAGGAGUGAGGAGGGUCUGUCUGGUGUGUUUGUGAGGAUGGAGGUGUGAGGAGGGUCAGUCUGGUGUGUAUGUGAGGAUGGAGGAGUGAGGAGGGUAUGUCUGGUGUGUAUGUGAGGAUGGAGGAGUGAGGAGGGUUUGUCUGGUGUGUAUGUGAGGAUGGAGGAGUGAGGAGGGUUUGUCUGGUCUGUGAGUGAGGAGGGUCUGUCUGGUGUGUGAGUGAGGAUGGAGGAGUGCGGGGGGUCAGUCUGGUGUGUUUGUGAGGAUGGAGGAGUGAGGAGGGUCUGUCUGGUGUGUAUGUGAGGAUGGAGGAGUGAGGAGGGUCUGUCUGGUGUGUAUGUGAGGAUGGAGGAGUGAGGAGGGUCUGUCUGGUGUGUAUGUGAGGAUGGAGGAGUGAGGAGGGUCUGACUGGUGUGUAUGUGAGAAUGGAGGAGUGGGGAGGGUCUGUCUGGUGUGUAUGUGAGGAUGGAGGAGUGAGGGGGGUCUGUCUGGUGUGUAUGUGAGGAUGGAGGAGUGAGGAGGAUCUGUCUGGUCUGUGAAUGAGGAGGGUCUGUCUGGUGUGUGAUUGAGGAUGGAGGAGUGCGGAGUGUCAGUCUGGUGUGUAUGUGAGUAUGGAGGAGUGAGGAGGGUCUGUCUGGUGUGUAUGUGAGGAUGGAGGAGUGAGGAGGGUUUGUCUGGUCUGUGAGUGAGGAGGGUCUGUCUGGUGUGUGUGUGAGGAUGGAGGAGUGCGGAGGGUCAGUCUGGUGUGUUUGUGAGGAUGGAGAAGUGAGGAGGGUUAGUCUGGUGUUUAUGUGAGGAUGGAGGAGUGAGGAGGGUCUGUCUGGUGUGUAUGUGAGGAUGGAGGAUUGAGGAGGGUCUGUCUGGUGUGUAUGUGAGGAUGGAGGAAUGAGGAGGGGCUGUCUGGUCUGUGAGUGAUGAUAGAGGAGUGAGGAAGGUCUGUUUGGUGUGUAUGUGAGGAUGGAGGAGGAGAGGAGGGUGUGUCUGGUAUGUAUGUGAGGAUGGAGGAGUGAGGAGGGUCUGUCUGGUGUUUAUGUGAAGAUGGAGGAAUGAGGAGGGGCUGUCUGGUGUGUAUGUGAGGAUGGAGGAGUGAGGAGGGUCUGUCUGGUGUGUGAGUGAGGAUGGAGGAGUGAGGAGUGUCUGGUGUGUAUGUGAGGAUGGAGGAGUGAGGAUGGUGUGUCUGGUCUGUGAGUGAGGAGGGUCUGUAUGGUGUGUAUGUGAGGAUGGAGGAGUGAGGAGGGUCUGUCUGGUGUGUAUGUGGGGAUGGAGGAGUGAGGAGUGUCUGUCUGGUCUGUGAGUGAGGAGGGUGUGUCUGGUGUGUAUGUGUGGAUGGAGGAGUGAGGAGGGUCUGUCUGGUGUGUGAGUGAGGAUGGAGGAGUGAGGAGGGUGUGUCUGGUGUGUAUGUGAGGAUGGAGGAGUGAGGAGGGUGUGUCUGGUGUGUAUGUGAGGAUGGAGGAGUGAGGAGGGUGUGUCUGGUGUGUAUGUGAGGAUGGAGGAGUGAGAAGGGUCUGUCUGGUUGUGAGUGAGGAUGGAGGAGUGAGGAGGGUCUGUCUGGUGUGUAUGUGAGGAUGGAGGAGUGAGGAUGGUCUGUCUGGUGUGUAUGUGAGGAUGGAGGAGUGAGGAGGGUCUGUCUGGUCUGUGAGUGAGGAGGGUGUGUCUGGUGUGUAUGUGUGGAUGGAGGAGUGAGGAGGGUCUGUCUGGUGUGUGAGUGAGGAUGGAGGAGUGAGGAGUGUGUGUCUGGUGUGUAUGUGAGGAUGGAGGAGUGAGGAUGGUCUAUCUGGUGUGUAUGUGAGGAUGGAGGUGUGAGGAGGGUCUGUCUGGUGUGUAUGUUUGGAUGGAGGAGUGAGGAGGGUGUGUCUGGUGUGUGAUUGAGGAGGGUCUGCCUGUUGUGUAUGUGAGGGUGCAGGAGUGAGGAGGGUGUGUCUGGUGUGUAUGUGAGGAUAGAGGUGGGUCUGUCUGGUGUGUAUGUGAGGAUGGAGGAGUGAGGAGGGUGUGUCUGGUCUGAGAGUGAGGAGGGUCUGUCUGGUGUGUGAGUGAGGAUGGAGGAGUGAGGAGUGUCUGGUGUGUAUGUGAGGAUGGAGGAGUGAGGACGGUGUGUCUGGUCUGUGAGUGAGGAGGGUCUGUAUGGUGUGUAUGUGAGGAUGGAGGAGUGAGGAGGGUCUAUCUGGUGUGUAUGUGAGGAUGGAGGUGUGAGGAAGGUCUGUCUGGUGUGUAUGUGAGGAUGGAGGAGUGAGGAGGGUGUGUCUGGUGUGUGAUUGAGGAGGGUCUGUCUGGUGUGUAUGUGAGGAUGGAGGAGGAGAGGAGGGUGUGUCUGGUGUGUAUGUGCGGAUGGAGGAGUGAGGAGGGUCUAUCUGGUGUGUAUGCAAGGGUGGAGGAGUGAGGAGGGUCUGUCUGUUGUGUAUGUGAGGAUGGAGGAGUGAGGAGGGUCUGUCUGGUGUGUAUGUGAGGAUGGAGGAGUGAGGAGGGUCUGUCUGGUGUGUAUGUGAGAAUGGAGGAGUGAGGAGGGUCUGUCUGAUUUGUAAGUGAGGAUGGAGGAGUGAGGAGGAUCUGUCUGGUCUGUGAAUGAGGAGGGUCUGUCUGGUGUUUAUGCGAGGAUGGAGGAGUGAGGAGGGUCUGUCUGGUGUGUAUGUGAGGAUGGAGGAGUGAGGAGGGUUUGUCUGGUCUGUGAGUGAGGAGGGUCUGUCUGGUGUGUGAGUGAGGAUGGAGGAGUGCGGAGGGUCAGUCUGGUGUGUUUGUGAGGAUGGAGGAGUGCGGAGGGUCAGUCUGGUGUGUUUUUCUGAGGAUGGAGGAAUGAGGAGGGGCUGUCUGGUCUGUGAGUGAUGAUAGAGGAGUGAGGAAGGUCUGUUUGGUGUGUAUGUGAGGAUGGAGGAGGAGAGGAGGGUGUGUCUGGUGUGUAUGUGAGGAUGGAGGAGUGAGGAGGGUCUGUCUGGUGUUUAUGUGAAGAUGGAGGAAUGAGGAGGGGCUGUCUGGUGUGUAUGUGAGGAUGGAGGAGUGAGGAGGGUCUGUCUGGUGUGUGAGUGAGGAUGGAGGAGUGAGGAGUGUCUGGUGUGUAUGUGAGGAUGGAGGAGUGAGGAUGGAGGAGUGAGGACGGUGUGUCUGGUCUGUGAGUGAGGAGGGUCUGUAUGGUGUGUAUGUGAGGAUGGAGGAGUGAGGAGGGUCUGUCUGGUGUGUAUGUGGGGAUGGAGGAGUGAGGAGGGUGUGUCUGGUGUGUAUGUGAGGAUAGAGGUGGGUCUGUCUGGUGUGUAUGUGAGGAUGGAGGAGUGAGGAGGGUCUGUCUGGUGUGUGAGUGAGGAUGGAGGAGUGAGGAUGGAGGAGUGAGGACGGUGUGUCUGGUCUGUGAGUGAGGAGGGUCUGUAUGGUGUGUGAGUGAGGAUGGAAGAGUGAGGAGGGUCUGUCUGGUGUGUAUGUGAGGAUGGAGGAGGGAGGAGGCUGUGUCUGGUCUGUGAGUGAGGAGGGUCUGUCUGGUGUGUGAGUGAGGAUGGAGGAGUGAGGAGUGUCUGGUGUGUAUGUGAGGAUGGAGGAGUGAGGACGGUGUGUCUGGUCUGUGAGUGAGGAGGGUCUGUAUGGUGUGUGAGUGAGGAUGGAGGAGUGAGGAGGGUGUGUCUGGUGUGUAUGUGAGGAUAGAGGAGGAGGGGUGUCUGUCUGGUGUGUAUGUGAGGAUGGAGGAGUGAGAAGGGUCUGUCUGGUUGUGAGUGAGGAGGGUCUGUCUGGUGUGUGAGUGAGGAUGGAGGAGUGAGGAGGGUCUGUCUGGUGUGUAUGUGAGGAUGGAGGAGUGAGGAGGGUCUGUCUGGUGUGUAUGUGAGGAUGGAGGAGUGAGGAGGGUCUGUCUGGUCUGUGAGUGAGGAGGGUCUGUCUGGUGUGUGAGUGAGGAUGGAGGAGUGAGGAGUGUGUGUCUGGUGUGUAUGUGAGGAUGGAGGAGUGAGGAUGGUCUAUCUGGUGUGUAUGUGAGGAUGGAGGUGUGAGGAGGGUCUGUCUGGUCUGUGAGUGAGGAUGGAGGAGUGAGGAGUGUGUGUCUGGUGUGUAUGUGAGGAUGGAGGAGUGAGGAGGGUCUAUCUGGUGUGUAUGUGAGGAUGGAGGAGUGAGGAGGGUGUGUCUGGUGUGUGAUUGAGGAGGGUCUGCCUGUUGUGUAUGUGAGGAUGGAGGAGUGAGGAUCGUCUGUCUGGUGUGUAUGUGAGGAUGGAGGAGGAGAGGAGGGUGUGUCUGGUGUGUAUGUGCGGAUGGAGGAGUGAGGAGGGUCUAUCUGGUGUGUAUGCGAGGGUGGAGGAGUGAGGAGGGUCUGUCUGUUGUGUAUGUGAGGAUGGAGGAGUGAGGAGGGUGUGUCUGGUGUGUAUGUGAGGAUAGAGGUGGGUCUGUCUGGUGUGUAUGUGAGGAUGGAGGAGUGAGGAGGGUGUGUCUGGUCUGAGUGAGCAGGGUCUGUCUGGUGUGUGAAUGAGGAUGGAGGAGUGAGGAGGGUCUAUCUGGUGUGUAUGUGAGGAUGAAGGAGUGAGGAGGGUCUGUCUGGUCUGUGAGUGAGGAGGGUGUGUCUGGUGUGUAUGUCAGGAUGGAGGAGUGAGGAGGGUCUAUCUGGUGUGUAUGUGGGGAUGGAGGAGUGAGGAGGGUGUGUCUGGUGUGUAUGUGAGGAUGGAGGAGUGUGGAGGGACUGUCUGGUGUGUAUGUGAGGAUGGAGGAGGAGAGGAGGGUGUGUCUGGUGUGUAUGUGCGGAUGGAGGAGUGAGGAGGGUCUAUCUGGUGUGUAUGUGAGGAUGGAGGAGUGAGGAGGGUGUGUCUGGUGUGUAUGUGAGGAUGGAGGAGUGAGGAGUGUGUGUCUGGUGUGUAUGUGAGGAUGGAGGUGGGUCUGUCUGGUGUGUAUGUGAGGAUGGAGGAGUGAGGAGGGUGUGUCUGGUGUGUAUGUGAGGAUGGAGGAGUGUGGAGGGACUGUCUGGUGUGUAUGUGAGGAUGGAGGAGUGAGGAGGGUCUGUCUGGUGUGUAUGUGAGGAUGGAGGAGUGAGGAGGGUGUGUAUGUGUGGAUGGCGGAGUGAGGAGGGUGUGUCUGGUGUGUAUGUGAGGAUGGUGGAGGAGGGGGCGUACCUGAUGGGUGUGUGAGGCUGGAGGAGGGGGAGGAAUUAUUGUGUGUGAGAGCGGUCUGGGGUGAAGCUGAGGAGUAGGACAGAUUGGUAGGGGGUUCAUGCUUGGCUGCUGUGUUACACUACUGACUGAGAGCUCCUCAAUCUUUCUUCUACGACUUCCAUGCAUAUAACAGGUUUCUGCACAGAAAUGCCCAGUGCCAAAUUGGUUGUGCUUGGAGUGGUCCUGAAGCAGAAGCAUUGUAAGCAAUAAACUUUAAUUUUAUGAAGCAACUGUCAAAGAUGGUUACCUGUCCUAGACAUUGGUCUGAUUAUGACUUGUCCAUGUGAUGUUUACCCGUUCUCCUUGUUACUGUGUGUACUUUCUCUGUGUGUGCUGGUUUCCUCCCAUAUCCCAAAGACUUUAAUUCACUCUACUGUCCAAUAUGCCACUGAUGUUUCAGGCAACAAUGAAAGUCCUCCAUCUCUGGGGGUGCUCAGGGCUGUCUUUAUCAUGUCUGGAGCUCACUUUUUACUAUUGUCAGUCAGACAAUUCCCAGGUGGAGUCUCAGGAAUACUGUCACACUCUGAUGCAGAAGGAUUCUUUAUUGCUGUUCCCGUAAAAAUUGUGUUUCACCCUGAGAUGAAGCUCUGAACCGGGAGGACAAGUGGGCCACUCUUGGUCUGGCCUCUACCCUUUGACCUGUUUGGCAUGGGUGACCCUAUCGAGAGCCAAAGAAUGAAGCACUGACAUCAGCGAAUGUAGCUCUCCUGGUCAUUGAGACAUGCAAGCCUCCAAACCCUACAACCAGUUUGUGGUCUUCUUGGAGGAAAGGCUUCAACUGGCCACUACAAAAUAUUUUAGAGUGGGUGAAUGGAAAAAUGGAAUAAAGGGGAAUAGGUGUGAGAAAUUAGUUGCAAGGCCGCAAAGGAAUAGGAAGUAGGAAAAUGUAGCUCGCAUGAGCCAAAAUGCCUCUCUCAGUUUCAUGACAAAAUAAUAUGAUUUCUGAUGUGGCUAGGUUCCUCUGUUCUCUGAGAAGUCCUUGAAUUUUUCCUCAUGUAAGACCAAAGGGAAAUUCAAGGAGUUCUUAUUCCAUGUGGUAAGAGAGAAAUAAAACUUUACAAUAUUUUAUUCCCCCCAUAGAUGCUGCCUGACUUGUUGACUUCUCCAUUAUUUGGUAUGUGUUGCUCAAUGUUGCGCUGACAAGUGGUAACUCUUUAUGAGGGGGGGAGUCAUCAAAAAUUCCCACUUGGGUCUGCUAUGGCUGAAAUUCACAGUCACAGUCGAGGGUAUUUCAGUGAGCAAUAUCAUUUUAAGACAUUUAAAAAAUCCAUCGAUACUCAAAAUUUGUAGAUCCUGGACUGCAGAUUCAGGUCAAGAAUGAUUUCUGUGCUUCUAUUUUCUUGAAGAGAAACUGCAAACGAGUCUGCAGGUACAACGGAAAUGCAAGGUUUUAGACCCCCACUCCCAACUAUCCUGCUGGUGAAUGUAGAGUCUCUGGAAAAUAAAACUGUAGACCUCUGAGCAAGAUUGCUGUACCAAAGGGACAUUAGGGACUGUUGUGAACUUUGCUUCACGGAAACAUGGCUAUCUCCUGCAUUUCAGGCACAGCGCUGCAACUCAAUAGCUUCAGUAUUCUCUGUGAACGAAGGGCAGCUCAGGCCAUUACUUCCUACAAAUUGAAAUCUAACAUCAUAAAUAGCUGUGAUGCUUUACUCCCAGAUAAGCUCAAUACUUCUUAUGCACACUUUGAAAAGGAGAAUAAAAACUACACUUGCGUGACUCCUUGCAGCACCCGGUGAUCCUGUAAUCCCUGUCUUGGAAGCCGACAUCUGAACAUCUUUCAAGUGGGUAACCCUUGCAAGGCGUCAGGCCCUAAUGGUGGACCUGAUAGGGCUCAAAAAACUUUUAAAAGUUGAAGGUUCCACCUGCAUCAAAAGGGAGACAGUCGUACCCAAGAAGAGCAGAGUGAGCUGCCUCAAUGACUUUCGACUAGUGUCAAUCAUGUCUACAGUGAUGAAGUGCAUUGAGAGGUUAGUCAUGGCUAGAAUUGACUCCUACCCAAGCAGGGACCUCAGCCCAGAGCAAUUUGCCUAUCGCCACAAUAGGUCAAUAGGUCUACAUUGGAUGCGAUCUUAUUGGCUCUCCACUUGGCCUUGGAUCACCUAGACAAUGGUAAUAUGUACAUCAGGCUGCUGUUUAUUGAUAAAAGCUCAGCAUUCAACAGAAUCAUAGCUUCAGUUCUAAUCUAAAAGCUCCAAAGCUUGGCCUUUGUACUUCCCUCUGCAAUUGGAUCCUUGAUUCACUCACCAGGAGACCAUCGUCUUUGAGGAUCACUGACAAUCAACACUGGCACACCUCAAGAAUCCAUGCUUAGCCCACUGCUCCACCCUCUCUACACCCAUAACUGUGUGGCUAGGUAGGCACAGCUCAAACACAAUCUAUGAAUUUCCCAAUGUCAUAUCUAUCUUAGGCAGAAUUUCAGAUGGUGAUGAGGAGUUGUACAAGAAUGAGAUAGUCCUGCUAUCUGUAAGAAUCUCACACUCGAUGUCAGUAAGACCAAGGAAUUGAUUGUGGACUUCAGGAAGGGGGAAGUCGAAGGAACACACACCAGUCCUCACCGAGGGAUCAGCAGUGGGAAGGAUGAGCAGUUUCAAGUUUCUGGGGAUCAACAUCUCUGAAAAUCUCUCCUGGGAUGAUCAUAUUGAUGGAGUUACAGAGAAGGCAUGACAGUGCCUAUAUUUAUUAGAUGUUCAAAGCGACUUAGUAUGUCACCAAGGACAUUUGCAAAUUUCUACAGAUGUAUUGUGGAAAACAAUCUAACUGGUUGUAUUACCAUAUGGUAUAGAGUGGCUACUGCACAGGAUCAGAGAAAACUGUAGAAAGUUGUGAAUUCAGCCAACUCCAUCAUAGAUGCUAUCCUUUCCAGUAUUGAGGACAGCUUCAAAAGGCGAUACCUCAAAAAGGAGGCAUUGCUACCAUCAAGUAUUAUGUAUUGCAAUGUACUGCUGCCGCAAAACAACAGAUUUCACAAUAUACGCCAGUGAUAUUAAGCCCAAUUCUGAUUCCGAAGCUUUCCAGCAUUAGGUGAUUAUCCUUCAGAGUGUAUUUUUUCACAGAACUCCGCUGUGUACUUCAGGUAAAAUUUGCACUCUCUAACCAUAUUUCUUGGCCAAUAUUUAUAAAAAAUAUAUAUUCAAUAACAUAGAAAUUCCUUUUUAAGCUGCAUGUGCCAGCAAUCUGCAUGACUAUUAUCUUAGGCUGAGAGAAAUACAUGAGAUUUUACUGAAGAGAAGCCUUUGAUUGGCUCUCACUAAGGAGGAAAUGCAAUAAAUUUCGGAGAGUCACAAGUUGGAGGAUGUCAAUUCCUAAAUUUGAUUUCUCUAGAAUCCUUAUUGAAUUAUAUGAAUCUAACCAAAGAUAUGGCUUUCACACAGUAGCUGUGAAGGACACAUAGUGGACAACACUGUGAGAAGUAAUUGUUGCUGUAACAAAGGAAGUUCUAAUCUUUAAAUCAUGUAGCCCAGAGCAGAAUUUGAGAGCAAUCUUAAAAUUCAAUCUAGCAUUUUACUUUAUUUGACAUGAAGUGCAUACCUCAUAACGUAGAUCCCUUAAUAGAGUUUGAUGAAAAAAAUGGAAAGCAGAUAUUUCUAAAAACUCUUGAGACUGUAGUACUGAUAUCCAAAAGGGCCAUGCCAUUUUUGACAAUACACCUUUCUAGUGUUGAAAGAAGGUAUUGUUAAAUUCAGAAAUGUUGCUUUCAGAUAUUCAGUUGAUCAGGAUUGAUUUGUUAUGCCAGCUGAAUCAAUAUGGGUUGUAAUUUUACAGCCUUUCGAUUUGCUGUCCUUUUUUCAAGUGCCUGCUGUAUCUUCAGAAAGUCCAAAUUCCUCUUGCUGUGUGUUCACAAGGUCUAUCUCUCCCUUCCUAUAGGCAUGGAAAGUCCACUCCUUUGGACAUAGGAGCAGAAUUAGACCAUAUCGCCCAUCAGGUCUGCUUUGUCAUUCCAUCUAUUUCUAUCCCUCUCAAUCCUGUUCUCCUGAAUUCUCUCCGUAGCCUUUGGUGCCCUGACUAAUCAAGAAUCUAUCAACCUCCGCUUUAAACAUGACCAGUGACUUGGCCUCCACAGCUGUCUGUGGCAAUGAAUUCCAUCAUCAUCUGGCUUUAUCUCAGAUCUAAAGGGACAUCCUUCUACUCUUGGGCUGUGCUCUCUGGUCCUAGACUUCCCACUAUAGGAACAGUUCCCCCUUGCUAAGUGUUCAUAAGAUUUAUCCCUCCCUCACUACAAGCUUCAGAAGUUCCAAGCUUUCAUCUCAGUUGUAGUUAAGGCUGAGCCAUUGGCUAAACCAUGAAACCCUGAGUGCUGCCUCUGUACUCACAAGGAAUAGAGCUUAAAACAAAUCUGCAAGGUAUUUAAAUAUCCUCCUUCAGCAUGCAAAGCAUGCCAUUGAAAUUCUGCAAGAAAGACAAAGAUUGACUACUCUCCCUUGCAUGUUAAACAGUGCUUUGUUAUCACUUCAUUCAAAUUCAUAAUCUAUAUUUAAUUAUCUGGAAUCACAGAAGGCAGUUCUACUUUAUGAUGAUACUAGAAAUUAAUCUUGACAUCUGAAAGGCUACAUCACAGGAGCCAUUUGGCAGGACUGCAGUAGGGAAAUUCUAUACAGAUUGUUUUUUUUUGCAACUGUCCUUACAAAAUAUACCUGCAACCAAAACCCUCAAUUAUUGUAGUAGUAUGCCACCCCGGAGAAUCACAGGAGUGACAGCUGUGCUAUUGAUAUGUAGGAAUGAUAAACAACAGUACUGUAAACAUUGACUAUGAACAUAAAGAAUGAAAAGGCAUUGCGCUGUUUUUUCUUUUUGAAAUAAAUUUUGUUAUAAAGUUUAUUUUGAUAAAGAUAUAUCUAUCUGCAGCUGACAUUGAUGCCUUGGGGAGAUGUGUUCAUAAGUCUUAACUAGUCACUCAUCCAAUCAUCUGAGAGGUUGACAGGAAAACGUCUUCCUGAUAGUUGUACUAAAGUAUAAACAAAAGAAAUCUUCCCUCGCCCUACCUCCCAUCUCCUCAGAUGGGAAGAACUUUGUUUCAGCUGCCUGUUCUGUUUCUUAUGUCAUGGAAAAAUUUGCACUGAAAGGAACGUAAUUGCCUUGUGCCAAGGUUAGGCUUACAACGUGGAUCUGUAUUUUUUUCUUCUCCUGUGCCUUCUCUCUCAUUUGCUUUCAAAGGCAAAGGUAGAGAUCUGACUGGGGUUUGAAGGGAAACAGUGUUAUCUCAGCCAAAAUUCAAAGGUAGGUUUAUUCCUCCACAGCAGACGUGUGGGAAAUAAAAUGAGAUCGGCAGUCAUGUACAUCAGAAGGAAAUUUGGAUGAUCUAGGUCAGCGGAACACCCAUUCCUGGAGAACAGUGGCAUGUUUAGUCAGAGCGAUUGCAGACUACCUGUUAGUACCAGCUUUCCAGUUCCCUGUGCUGGAUGGUGAUGCAACAUCGAACCACCACAUCUUUGUGCACUUCAUUGACUCCUUAUAACACAGGUGAUAUUUUGAACAAAAUAGGUUUCUCAUUUUCACCUUCUGAUUAUCUGUCAUUCUUCUAUUUCACACUACCUAAUGUCUUCUCAUCCUCACCUCAUUUCCUUCUUCAGACUACUUGCCAUCCUUGGAAUGACUCAGUGUCAAUAUUCCUCACAGGCAGAGGAGAAAUGAUUUCCUACUGAUUCUUCCCUCUAUUUCUCAAGUCCCCCAUUUAGUAAGAAGACAGCAUUUCUGCUUGCUCUUCUAACUGUAUGGCUAAGAUUAGCAAGCUCUGCUUUUUUCCAAUGCAGUAUUUGUGAAAGAAAUCUUCCUUGUACAGUAUGAUACAUAGCAAACAUUUAAUCGUUCAACAAAGAGAUGAAUUUGAAAGCAGAAUUUCUUUAAAUGACAGUUAGAUACUGCAGCAACUUACUGCAAAAAUGGCAGGGAAAUUUAUUUAAAAAUGCUGUUUGAGAUGCUUAUAUGCAGUAAGUAUGUAAAAGGCUGUCAACCUUUUGUAUGCCACGGAGCCUUACCAUUACCAAGGGGUCCAUGGACCGCAGAUUGGGAACCCCUGGGAUGCAAGCUAAACAUGGGAAAAUGAGACUAGCUCGGGUGGGCAUCAUUGGUCAGCAUGGUUGAGUUAGGCAGAAGGAGCCUUCUUCUGUGCCGUAUUUCUUUAUGAACAGAAGUGAACAGAGGAGAUCAGAUAGAAUUCAUUAUGAAGGACCUUAUAAAAACUUUGUUUAUUAAAUUAUUGAGCAAUGGCAUGAAUGUGUUGAGGAGGGGUUUUCCCUGACUGAUUCAACAUGGAAACAGCUCCUUCACAGCAACUUGUCCACACUGACUAAAUUAUUUACCUCUGCUGGACCAAUGUGUCUGCAUUUGGCCCAUACCCCUCUAAAUCUCUAACUUGAUUGAGGAGAUGGCAAAGAAAGUGGGAGAGAAUGUAUUUAUUCUGGUCCAUGUGGAUUUUGUUAAAGUGAUAAAAUAAUACUUGGAUUUGGCAUGACACUUAAUAAUUUGACAAUAUUCUAUAAAUGUGUGGUGGAGAAUAUGGAAAUACCAAUACCCUUGAAUAGAAAAUCCUACAAAAGGUAGUAGAUAUAGCUCAGUCCAUCAUGGGUAAAACUCUCACAACCACUGAGUGUAGUCACAGGAAUGUUACAUCCAUCCUCAGGGAACCCCACCACACAGGAUAUGCUCUCUUCUCAUUGCUGAUAUCAGAAAGAAGGUACAGGCGUCUUCAGGACUCACACCAACAGGAUCAGGAAUAAGUUUUACUCCACAACCAUCAGGCUUUUGAACCAGAGGGGAUAACUUCACUCAACACACUUGCCCUAUUACUGAACUGUUCCAACAAGCUAUAGACUCACUUUCAAGUACUCUUCAACUCAAGUUCAUGAUAUUUAUUGCGUAUUUACUUAUUAUUAUUAUUAUUAUUUGUACUUGCGAGGUUUAUAGUGUUUUUGCUCACUGAUUGUAUGCCCUUUUGGUGUCGUCUUUCAUUUAUUCUGUUAUGGUUAUUAGAUAUAUUGUAUAUGCCUGCAAGAAAAUGGAUUUCAGGGUGUAUAUGAUGACACGUGUACUUUGAUUAUAAAUUUACUUUAAGUUUAGAAGAAUAAAAUUUCGUAGGAUCGAAGGGAGAGUGGUAUAUGGAUCCCAAGUUGGCUCAGUGGAGGGAAGCAAAGAAUAAUGGCUGAGGGGUAUUUUUGUGACCAGGAGCCUGUUACCUGUAGGGUUUCACAGGGUGCGUUGGUCACCCUCUGAAUUUUCAGAAUCAGAAUCAGUUUUAUCAUCCCUGGCACGUGUUGUGGAAUUUUCAUAGUACUUAUAAAAGAUUUAGACUUUGUAGAUGGUAUGAUAAGGAAACUUGCAGCGGAUUAAGAAAUGGGCUGUGUUGACAGCAAAGUGAUCAGGAAGGACAUUGUAUACUGAAGAAGAGGGAUCUUAAUAUCUGAGAAGAAAUCUAACCCAGCAAAGCGUGAGGUAAUAUAUUUAUGGAGAUGGCACCAGGGAAAGUACACUAAAUGGGGGGACAUCUUCCAUACUGGUAUGAUGGAACAAAGGGACUGCAUGCUCACAGACAGCAGCUUAGGUCAAUCAGGUAAUUGAAGAGCCAUAAAGAAUAUUUCCCUUUAUUAGUUUUCUCUUGGAACAGGGAGGGCGUGCUGGAUUUGCACUGUAUUCAGCCUUAGAGGACCACAGCGUGAGCACUGUGUGCAGUUCUGGUCACCACAUUACAGAGAACUGUGACUGCAACAGAGACCGUGAUAAAUCUGCAAGAACAUUUCCAGGAUUGGAAAAUUAUCGGACACAGGGGUAAGGUGUCACCAAGAGUAAACAGAAAGAACCAAUUUCCCCAGGCAGUUAGGAUUGAUAGGGGUUGAGUCAAUGAAGAGUGGGGUGGGAUGACAUAUAUUUAAAGUACCUUUGGAAGGAUCAGAGGGGAGAAGGAAAAUUGAUUUCACCCAGAGGAUGAUAGAGUUGAUACCCACAGCCUGAAAGAAUGGUUAGGCAGAAAAGAUUAUCACAUUUAAAUGGUAUUUGAAGAGCAGAGAACGACAAGGCUACAAACUUAUGGCGGGACAGUAGGAUUAGACCUUUUUCAACUGGACUGGACACAUACGGUGAAUAAACGUUUUGUUAUCCUUUCUGUGAGUUAGACAUAAAUUAUGUAUAAAACAUUUUAAGUCAGUUACACAGUAUGUUCACUGUUUAAUUGACAGGAUUAUUACCCAAACAUCUUCAUUGUGCUUAUUUGCAUCUCCGACUGUGAAGGAGAGCUCUAUUUUAUAACUUAGCAAAGCAAGUUGCUGGCAAGCUGUGCCUCACUUGAUAUUGGCAGAAACCUCUUUCUUCCUUAAGUCUGUCCCCCUGUGUGAUUUUCAUCAACAACUGCUGCAUUUUAGAACUCAUCAACAUGAAUUCUGUGCAAUAAUGGUAAAAUAGAUUAAAAUAUAACUAGUCCAGUAUGCCAGCAGUGCACAACAAAGAAGACAACACUUUCUUCAGAAAGGGAAAAUACUGCAGAUGCUGGAAAUAUGUAAUAAUUGAAUGCUCAUGUGACAUUUGCCUUCCUCACCACUGACUCAAGCUGCAAGUUGGCCUUUAGGGUGUUUUGCACAAAGACUCCCAAGUCCCUUUGUAUCUCAGAUUUUUGGAUUUUCUCACCUUUUAGAAAAUAGUCCGCACAUUUAAUUUUACUACCAAAUUGAGGAUCUCACGUGGUCUGUACACCAGCUCUGUGGUGAAAAAGGCACAACGGUACCACUUUCACCUCAGACGGUUGAGGAAGUUUGGUAUGGGCUGCAUCACUGCCUGGUAUGGGAACUGUAUCUCCCUUAAUCGCCGGACUCAGCAAAGAGUGGUGCGGACAGCCCAGCACACCUGUAGAUGUGAACUUCCCAUGAUUCAGGACAUUUACAAUGACAGGUGUGUAAAAAAAGGCCCGUAGGAUCAUUGGAGACCCGAGUCACCCCAACCACAAUCUAUUCCAUCUGCUACCAUCCGGGAAAUGGUACCGCAGCAUAAAAGCCAGGACAAAAAGGCUCUGGGACAGCCCCCCACUGGGUCAUCAGGCUGAUUAACUCACG